UAAUCGCGGAUCAGCACGCCGCGGUGAAUACGUUCCCGGGUCUUGUACACACCGCCCGUCACACCACGAGAGUUUGUAACACCUGAAGUCGGUGAGGUAACCUUUGGAGCCAGCCGCCGAAGGUGGGACAGAUGAUUGGGGUGAAGUCGUAACAAGGUAGCCGUAGGUGAACCUGCGGCUGGAUCACCUCCUUUCUAAGGA
rnacentral:rRNA from 1 species